rnacentral:rRNA from 1 species
UGAGCUUGAUCCUGGCUCAGGACGAACGCUGGCGGCGUGCCUAAUACAUGCAAGUCGAGCGCAGGAAGCCGGCGGAUCCCUUCGGGGUGAAGCCGGUGGAAUGAGCGGCGGACGGGUGAGUAACACGUGGGCAACCUACCUUGUAGACUGGGAUAACUCCGGGAAACCGGGGCUAAUACCGGAUGAUCAUUUGGAUCGCAUGAUCCGAAUGUAAAAGUGGGGAUUUAUCCUCACACUGCAAGAUGGGCCCGCGGCGCAUUAGCUAGUUGGUAAGGUAAUGGCUUACCAAGGCGACGAUGCGUAGCCGACCUGAGAGGGUGAUCGGCCACACUGGAACUGAGACACGGUCCAGACUCCUACGGGAGGCAGCAGUAGGGAAUCAUCCGCAAUGGGCGAAAGCCUGACGGUGCAACGCCGCGUGAACGAUGAAGGUUUUCGGAUCGUAAAGUUCUGUUAUGAGGGAAGAACAAGUGCCGUUCGAAUAGGUCGGCACCUUGACGGUACCUCACGAGAAGCCCG